GAUGAACGCUGGCGGCGUGCCUAAUACAUGCAAGUCGAGCGAUGCGGGGACGGGUGAGUAACACGUGGAUCACCUCUUCUAAGACUGGGAUAACUUCGGGAAACCGGAGAAAAACCGUAUACCUAUUGAUGGAUCCGCGCUGCAUUAGCUAGUUGGGAAGGUAAGGACUUACCAAGGCAACGAUGCAUAGCCGAUCUGCGAGGGUGUUCUGCCACACUGGAACGUAGACACGGUCCAGACGCCUACGGGAGGCAGCAGUAGGGAAUCUUCCGAAAUGGGCGAAAGCCUGACGGAGCAACGCCGCGUGAGUGAUGAAGGUCUUCGGAUUGUAAAGCUCUGUUAGUAGGGAAGCGGUACCUAAGCAGAAAGCCACGGCUAACUACGUGACAGCAGACGCGGUAAUUC
rnacentral:rRNA from 1 species